UACAGAGGGGGCAAGCGUUAUUCGGAAUUAUUGGGCGUAAAGGGCGCGUAGGCGGCUUUGCAAGUGACGGGUGAAAUCCCUCGGCUUAACCGAGGAACUGCCUGUCAGACUGCAUGGCUUGAGACCAGGAGAGGUGAGUGGAAUUCCCAGUGUAGCGGUGAAAUGCGUAGAUAUUGGGAGGAACACCAGUGGCGAAGGCGGCUCACUGGACUGGUACUGACGCUGAGGCGCGAAAGCGUGGGGAGCGAACAGG
rnacentral:rRNA from 1 species